rnacentral:rRNA from 1 species
GACAGAGGGUGCAAACGUUGUUCGGAAUUACUGGGCGUAAAGCGCGUGUAGGCGGUCAUGCAAGUCGGGUGUGAAAGCCCGGGGCUCAACCCCGGAAGUGCAUUCGAUACUGCGUGGCUAGAGUACUGGAGAGGAUGGUGGAACUCUCGGUGUAGAGGUGAAAUUCGUAGAUAUCUGGAGGAACACCGGUGGCGAUGGCGGCGUCCUGGACCAACACUGACACUGAUGAGCGAAAGCCAGGGGAGCAAACGGG